UUUCCGUAGGUGAACCUGCGGAAGGAUCAUUCAUAAUAAAGUGUUUUAUGGCACUUUUUAAAAAUCCAUAUCCACCUUGUGUGCAAUGUUAGAUCUCGUCAAUCUUGGCGAGAUUUUUAUACAUCAACUCAUUCUUUAACUAAUUUGUCUGAAAAAUAAUAUGAAUACUUAAUUCAAAAUACAACUUUCAACAACGGAUCUCUUGGCUCUC
rnacentral:misc_RNA from 1 species